UACGUAGGGUGCGAGCGUUGUCCGGAAUUAUUGGGCGUAAAGAGCUCGUAGGCGGUGUGUCGCGUCGGCCGUGAAAACCUGGGGCUUGGCUCUGGGCGUGCGGUCGAUACGGGCAUCACUAGAGUUCGGCAGGGGAGACUGGAAUUCCUGGUGUAGCGGUGAAAUGCGCAGAUAUCAGGAGGAACACCGGUGGCGAAGGCGGGUCUCUGGGCCGAUACUGACGCUGAGGAGCGAAAGCAUGGGUAGCGAACAGG
rnacentral:rRNA from 1 species